rnacentral:rRNA from 1 species
GAGUUUGAUCAUGGCUCAGGACGAACGCUGGCGGCAGGCCUAACACAUGCAAGUCGAGCGCCAUCUUCGGGUGGAGCGGCGGACGGGUGAGUAACGCGUGGGAACGUACCCUUUGGUACGGAAUAGCCCCGGGAAACUGGGAGUAAUACCGUAUGAGCUCUUCGGAGGAAAGAUUUAUCGCCAAAGGAUCGGCCCGCGUUGGAUUAGGUAGUUGGUGGGGUAACGGCCUACCAAGCCGACGAUCCAUAGCUGGUUUGAGAGGAUGAUCGGCCACACUGGGACUGAGACACGGCCCAGACUCCUACGGGAGGCAGCAGUGGGGAAUAUUGGACAAUGGGCGCAAGCCUGAUGCAGCAACGCCGCGUGAGGGAUGACGGCCUUCGGGUUGUAAACCUCUUUUAGUAGGGAAGAAGCGUAAGUGACGGUACCUGCAGAAAAAGCACCGGCUAACUACGUGCCAGCAGCCGCGGUUAAU